AAGACUAUACUUUCAGGGAUCAUUUCUAUAGUUUGUGAAUAACUGCCAACACCAAGAUGGCAGUGAUGUUAGUUAUCUGACAAAGAUUUUAAAGAAACCAUGUCAGAUAAACAUCUGA
rnacentral:snoRNA from 1 species